AGCGAACGCUGGCGGCAGGCCUAACACAUGCAAGUCGAGCGCCCGUAGCAAUACGGGAGCGGCAGACGGGUGAGUAACACGUGGGAACGUACCCUUCGGUUCGGAAUAACCCAGGGAAACUUGGAUUAAUACCGGAUACGUCCGUAAGGAGAAAGAUUUAUCGCCGAAGGAUCGGCCCGCGUCCGAUUAGCUUGUUGGUGGGGUAAUGGCCCACCAAGGCUACGAUCGGUAGCUGGUCUGAGAGGAUGAUCAGCCACACUGGGACUGAGACACGGCCCAGACUCCUACGGGAGGCAGCAGUGGGGAAUAUUGGGCAAUGGGCGCAAGCCUGAUCCAGCCAUGCCGCGUGGGUGAUGAAGGCCCUAGGGUUGUAAAGCCCUUUCGGCGGGGAAGAUAAUGACGGUACCCGCAGAAGAAGCCCCGGCUAACUUCGUGCCAGCAGCCGCGGUAACAC
rnacentral:rRNA from 1 species